CAGAAGAUUACUGACUGGACAAACCUAAAAGCAAGUGCAACCAGGACGGGCACCCAGACCUCCCAACUUUGGUGCCCACCCUGGGCACAUGCUGUUCCUGACCUGCUGUGGGGGAGCAGCCACGAGACCCAAUGUGACCCCAUAUGCUUCAGGCUUUUACUGCCCGGAAGGCAGUGGAGAACCCACCUUGUGCCCCCCUCACACUGUGGCGGCUGUCCCCAGAGCCAAGCAGCAAGAGGAAUGCGGGCCUUGCCCUGCCGGGCACUGGUGCAAAGCCGGGGACCCGGCCCCCCGCCCCUGCCCUGCUGGCCACUACUGCCCCGGAGGGAAUGAGACGAGCACAGGAGCCCCCCAGGCCUGCCCUGAGCACACCUAUCUGGCUGCGGAAGGAGGCGAGAGUCUGGCAGAGUGCCUCCCUUGCCCUCCUGGGUACCACUGCCUGUCCCCAGGUCUCUCUUCCUUCAAAAACCACCCGUGUCCUCCAGGCUACUGGUGUCCAGGUGGCCGGGAUCCCUUUCUCUGCCCACCUGGAACCUUUCGGACAAAGCCAGGGGCAACCUCACAAGAAGACUGUGAGCUCUGUCCCCCUGGCCACUACUGCCCCCAGGCUGAGCUGAGGGGUCACCCAAAUGUGUUUGCGAUCCCCUGCAGAGCCGGAUCUGAAUGCCCUGCAGGUGAGACUGCCUGGCAUCUCUCUCCCUCCCCAGCCCACCCC
rnacentral:lncRNA from 12 species